CUACCAAAAGUUUAUUUUGGGGGCAAGGUUUUUUUUAGUAACCUUUACCGAUUCAGGCUAUUUGGGAGAAUAAAGACCAGACCACACUCCACAGUGGGCUAUACCACUUAGUAUAGUUCACUACUCUUUGGUGGCCUACAUU